rnacentral:rRNA from 1 species
AUUGAACGCUGGCGGCAGGCCUAACACAUGCAAGUCGAACGAGUGGCGGACGGGUGAGUAAUGUCUGGGAAUCUGCCUGAUGGAGGGGGGUAACUACUGGAAACUGUCGCUAAUACCGCAUACCAUCGGAUGUGCCCAGGUGGGAUUAGGUAGUUGGUGGGGUAAUGGCCUACCAAGGCGACGAUCCCUAGCUGGUCUGAGAGGAUGACCAGCCACACUGGAACUGAGACACGGUCCGGACUCCUACGGGAGGCAGCAGUGGGGAAUAUUGCGCAAUGGGCGCAAUCCUGAUGCAGCCAUGCCGCGUGAAUGAAGAAGGCCUUCGGGUUGUAAAGUACUUUCAGCGUGGAGGCGUUACUCACAGAAGAAGCACCGGCUAACUCCGUGCCAGCAGCCGCGGUAAUUC